GGCUACCAUGUCCCAUCAUGCGCCUAGGACAUUGAGGUGAUACACUUAAAAUACUUGAGUGCACUCAAAAGUUGUUACGACAUCGAAGUCUCAUCAUGACCAUUGAUCAUGACUUUUGAUUUUUCUUGGAUUCUCAAUCAUUGAUCUUAGCAUUUUUUAUGCUUAUAAAUAGGUAAAACAAAGUUGAUUUUUAUUUUUUGUCUUUUAUUGCUUCCGAGUGUUGUUAAUAUUCUUCCUCUUGUGAUUUC
rnacentral:lncRNA from 1 species